rfam:Candidate division TA06 bacterium 34_109 MPJ_scaffold_1425, whole genome shotgun sequence.
CCUGCCACGCCUCUCAAUGAUGCGCACCCUGGCGGGU